AGAGUUUGAUCAUGGCUCAGAAUCAACGCUGGCGGCGUGCCUAACACAUGCAAGUCGAGCGAGAAAGUGGGAGCAAUCCCAUGAGUACAGCGGCGACCGGGUGAGUAACACGUGACUAACCUACCCUUGAGUGGGGAAUAACUCCGGGAAAACCGGAGCUAAUACCGCAUAACACCGCAAGGUCAAAGGAGCAAUUCGCUUAAGGAGGGGGUCGCGGUUGAUUAGCUAGUUGGUGGGGUAAUGGCCCACCAAGGCGAUGAUCAAUAGCCGGCCUGAGAGGGCGCACGGCCACACUGGAACUGAAACACGGUCCAGACUCCUACGGGAGGCAGCAGUGGGGAAUUUUGCGCAAUGGGGGAAACCCUGACGCAGCAACGCCGCGUGAAGGAUGAAGGUCUUUGGAUUGUAAACUUCUUUCGUCCGGGAAGAUAAUGACGGUACCGGAAUAAGAAGCCCCGGCUAACUUCGUGCCAGCAGCCGCGGUAAUACGAAGGGGGCGAGCGUUGUUCGGAAUUAUUGGGCGUAAAGGGCGCGUAGGCGGUGCGGUAAGAGUGUUGUGAAAUCCUCGGGCUCAACUCGAGGCCUGCAACGCUGACUGCCGUGCUGGAGUGUGGGAGAGGUGCGUGGAAUUCCCGGUGUAGCGGUGAAAUGCGUAGAUAUCGGGAGGAACCCUGUGGCGAAAGCGGCGCACUGGACCACAACUGACGCUGAGGCGCGAAAGCUAGGGGAGCAAACAGGAUUAGAUACCCCCGUAGUCC
rnacentral:rRNA from 1 species